rnacentral:rRNA from 1 species
GACGAACGCUGGCGGCGUGCUUAACACAUGCAAGUCGAACGGAAAGGCCCUGCUUUUGUGGGGUGCUCGAGUGGCGAACGGGUGAGUAACACGUGAGUAACCUGCCCUUGACUUUGGGAUAACUUCAGGAAACUGGGGCUAAUACCGGAUAGGAGCUCCUGCUGCAUGGUGGGGGUUGGAAAGUUUCGGCGGUUGGGGAUGGACCCGCGGCUUAUCAGCUUGUUGGUGGGGUAGUGGCUUACCAAGGCUUUGACGGGUAGCCGGCCUGAGAGGGUGACCGGCCACAUUGGGACUGAGAUACGGCCCAGACUCCUACGGGAGGCAGCAGUGGGGAAUAUUGCACAAUGGGCGGAAGCCUGAUGCAGCAACGCCGCGUGCGGGAUGACGGCCUUCGGGUUGUAAACCGCUUUCGCCUGUGACGAAGCGUCAGUGACGGUAAUGGGUAAAGAAGCACCGGCUAACUACGUG